rnacentral:rRNA from 1 species
CAAUAGCGAAAUUUGCUUCUGUUGCAGUUAAAAAGCUCGUAGUUGUAUUUCUGGGAGUGUCCUUUGGGUCUGCUCUUAAUUGAGUCUUCCCUUCGAAACACCCUCUUUUGUGGCAUCCCUCUCACGAGGCGCCACCACUUACUGUGAGGAAAUCUAAGUGCUCAACGCCGACUCUUGUCUGAAAGGUACAGCACGGAAUAAGAAGAUAUGACAUUGUCAGUCUUGUUGGUUUAUUGAUAAUUGUAAUGAUAAAUAGGAACAGAUGGGGCAAUUUGUAUUGAAGCGUCAGAGGUGAAAUUCUUGGAUCGCUUCAAGACAAUCAAAAGCGAAGGCAUUUUGCAGCGAUGUUUUCAUUAAUCAAGAACUAAAGUCAGGGGAUCGAAGAUGAUUAGAUACCGU